rfam:TPA: Bos taurus chromosome 6, whole genome shotgun sequence.
UCCCUGGUAGCUCAGAGAUUAAAGCAUCUGCCUGCCAUGCGGGAGAGCUGGGUUCAAUUCCUGGGUUGGGAA